ACAGAAUCACAGAAUAUCCUAAGCUAGAAGGGACCCAUAAGGAUCAUUGAGUCCAACUCCUUGAAGAGUGCAUUAAAUUCAAAAGAUGCCCAUUCUGCCAGCCCUUUUGCUUUCCUUUUUUCCCAUGGAUUAUGUUGAUAAGGACUACAGAGCCUGAAUUCUACAUUUGGAGAGAGGCUUUCCCAAAGAUCUUAGAGGUGGGAAAAAGAGAAUAAGAAGUGGCUGGAGGGUGAAGAGUUAAGGAACCCGUAGCUUGAGCUGCUCUCGAGGGAGACAGGAAAGCUGUAGAGAUUUGGCACUACAUGCAGAUCCCAAAAAUUAGAUCAUAGCACAUAAUUAUCCUCCAAACUGGUCCCGGUGCCAAAAUCUUAAUAUCUGGGAUUGUUAUAAUUUGAAGUCAUGUAGGAAAUCCAGAGUUCCAAUCAAUUGCAUUCCCAUGCCCAGUCGCUCCCUGUCCUUGCCCGUUUUACAAUAAAACAUACCUGGCAUUGUGUGCAGAGUGAGUAACGAUUCCUGUGCAGAAAGGGAAGAGAGAGAAACACGGAGAACUCUCCCAGGCACUGCAGGCAGCGGGCAGGCAGUGCUGGCACGAUGCGGCCGUGACUCAGCCCUGCGUUCCUCUGCCAGUGGCCGCUGCCUCUUCCACCCCAUCCUGCUCCUUUCGGGACACAGUUUGCAACGUGCAUGCAAAAUCUGCUGCAGUUCUUAUUAGCUCAGCUUGUGUCUUUCUGUCAGGAUGCACCCGGCUCUUCUAAAAUCUCAGCACUUGCACAGGGCUGAAUUCAGUGCAGCCGUUCCUAAAAAAAAAAGGUCGCUGCACAAUGUCCCACAGACUCUCAGGAAUCCAACCAGAAGAGAACGUGAACUUUGCAUCACAGUGCCAGGGGGACAACAAUGCUUUCUUUGGGCAAUAAGUGGGAGCAGGAUGGGGUCCAUCACCCCUGGGAUGGCACAGGGAGCAGGCACAAGGCUUGUUCCAGCACUAAGCACUACACUUCCCUACAUGCACGCACACAGUUCGGCAUGCCACCACCCCAAUGAGCAGCUCUGCAGGCUGGUGGCACCAAACCAGCUUUUCUAUAGCAGCGAGCUGGGGGUGGAAGAUGUUCUGCAGGCAGAGGUGCUGUUAUCUGUGAAUUGGGUGCUGCUAGGAAUAGGAAGCUCAGCCAAGGACGAGCUACCAGAGCUUCUAGUGAGGAAAACAGCAGUGCAGGGGCAGCUGAGCCUGCAGUGAUGAAGGGCAGGACAUGCCUUGCGAUCUGGGCUUUUUUUUUCCCACUUCCUGUUUAUAGGUUGACUGCAUUUCCCCAGCGUUUGAACUUCUCCGUCACGCUGUUUCUCUGCUGCUGCUGACACUGAAUUAUGCUUUGGACUAGAGGCCAGGAUUUUCCCAUUGACAUGGACAAAUUGGUCUACUUUAUUGCAUUCUGGAGAUUUGAUCCUCCUCUGCAGUCUGCUGGGCAACUUCCAAAGGAUAGAAUUGGAUUCCUCACCAUAAAGUUUCUCCUUCCAAGAUGGAAAGGGCUUUUAUGGCAAAGUAUAAAAUCAAAAAACAAGCUGUCACUCGCAUUUGCUGCCCUGCUCUUUCUGUGCACUGUAAGAAGCACUCUCAGGGUUUUGAAGCCUGCUGUAUUAAGUGUGAGAUGGUGAAAAGGUCAUGACAGAAGGGCUGGUGAGAUUGAAAUCGAGUGCAGGAGCAUUCUGCAAGGAGGUGACUUGCCUGCUCCAAAUGCCCUGAGAAGUGAAGGCGAGAGCCUUAGCACAGCAUUGUGCUACCUGUGUCUUCUCCAUCCCUGCUACCUGCAUCCCUCCUUGCACAACCAGACCGUGGCUUUCAGGGUGACUGAUGUCCCCAUCAAGGAACAGUUUGUGACAAAGGAAUACAUCUUCCAUGAGGAGGAUGACCAGGAAUUGGACAACAUGAACUGAAGAAAACAUCUCCUGCCUCAGCAAUGGGCUCCCAAACCAAAACAGACAUUACUGCCUGGAAGUAAUUCGGAGGAACUCUACCAGCAAGUGUGAAAUGAAUGCAAAUGUGCAGCUUCUUUAGACUUAAUUGUAGAAGAGCAUCUGUUUACAUUUCAUUUCAGUACUACAGUGAACCCUCAUCUAUUGGGAAGUUUGCAGCCUGCAAAGAUAGCAUGUUGUUGAGUGGUUUUGAAAAGAAUAUACCAUCAUUCACCAGGUUCAUGCUGCUUGCCUCUAUUCAGCCACUCACCAGAGCCACCCUAUCGAAACUACAACUGUGGAUGUAAGCAUUUCUGAGAGCUGUAAUUGAACUCCCCAUCACAACCUUUACAGCAAUCAUUUUGAUUACUCUUAGCUUAGCAAUUAUGGCUGAGUGACACAUUUUCAGCUUUGGAAAACAAUAUGCCUAGCCCAGCUACCCUAUGCAUAAGUGUCUCAUAUACAUAUAUCCACAUAGAUAUACAUAUUUACCAGCUUUCACGUGCUAAAUGGUUUCUAAGCUCCUGCCUGCCAAGGAGCUGGUUGAUCCAUGAGCAGGAUUCCUGUUGGAUGGCUGCGUGAUGUGUGCCAACAGCUCCCUCUGGGUUUUUUGUCUGAGAUUUACUUCAGUUGCAGAAAAAUCAGGGAAUGUCUUUGUUCCCAGAAGUACUCCUGGCAGCCGACCUUGGAUCACGACCCAUCAUCGCAGCCCAGUUGCACAGUCUCUAGACAGCAUCUCCUCGGGGCCAGCACAACCUGGGGUGAUGAGACAAGCUCUGUAAUGGAAACGAUUGUGCCUUUGUGUCUGGGCAGCCAGCAAGUGUCAUUCUUUGAAACACAGCGGCUAUUUCAGAAAGAGCAUCUCUAGCGGAGAUGCAGCAGUUUUCCAGGGCACCAUGGAGACAUCCAGUUGCAUAACCCUGACAGUCACUGGGAGACAGUCUGCUGGCAAGCAUUACUGAUACCCCCCGCUCCUGCUCAGCAUGAAGUCCCAAUGACCUCAGCCCUUGGCCGCCUUGUCCACCUCCAACAAGGAAUGUUAGAGAGAACAUCUCAGGAGCCCCUCCCAUAAGCUAUGAACCAAAGCCCUUAAUUUUACAGCUACUAAAAUAUACCAAAGUUCAACACAAUAGCUUUUCAAGUUGACUAACUGGUACGUGGGAGCCAAAAAGCAGGAGCCAUGUAGAUUUAUCAUGUCGUUAAAGGGAACUGGGGUGAGUGUUAGGCAGAGGAUGGAGAUCGCGAACCCAGAGCUGAGGGCAACAGCUUUAUGAUGAGUUUCACCAUCUGAAAGCCUGGUGUUGUGCACUGCAGCAACCAGCGUUGAGCUCGUCAGAUCUCAGAUUUGCAGCAGGCUGCUUUGCUUCUUUGUUCAUCAAAACAGGGAAGAAAUAGUGGAGCACUUUGGAAAAAUCCUGGAGAAUCUGGUAGAGAUGGAAUUGAGGGUGCUUAGGAACUUGCAGAGUCCAAGGCAGAAAUUACUGUAAAUACUUGUUGAAUUUAGUAAGUGUUUUUAUGCUUCCUGUUGGGUUAUUUUUAACACUCUUGUAGGAUUCCAUAGUGGGAUAUGAUUAUGCAUUAAAUUUUAAUGGUUGUUUUAAAAAUAAAAGCUGUCGAAUGCUAUCAUUUUCUAUUAGGUAAUACAGAGUGCCUCCAUUAGGAGUGUUUUUCUCCUUCCAAACAAAGCCUAGGCAGGCUCGAGCAACAGUCAUGAGCAAAAUAAUCCCAGCUUGGGGAAGAUAUUAAUAAAAUCCAGGCUGCAAAAUGUGCAGGAAGCUGCUCUAAUGUAUCCAUUUC
rnacentral:lncRNA from 1 species